GAUUAACGCUGGCGGCGUGCAUAACACAUGCGAGUCGAACGAUGAAACUUUAAUGACCCCUUCGGGGAGAAUUAAAGCGGAUUAGUGGCGAACGGGUGAGUAACGCGUGAGUAACCUGCCUUACACAAGGGGAUAGCCUUUGGAAACGAAGAAUAAUACCCUAUAAAACCAUCAAAGCACAUGCAAUUAUGGUCAAAGUGAUAGCGGUGUAAGAUGGACUUGCGUCUGAUUAGCUAGUUGGUGAGAUAAAAGCCCACCAAGGCAACGAUCAGUAGCCGGCUUGAGAGAGUGUACGGCCACAUUGGGACUGAGACACGGCCCAGACUCCUACGGGAGGCAGCAGUGGGGAAUUUUGCACAAUGGGGGAAACCCUGAUGCAGCGACGCCGCGUGAUUUAGAAGGCCUUCGGGUUGUAAAAAUCUUUUGUAUAGGAAGAAAAUGACAGUACUAUACGAAUAAGGUCCGGCUAAUUACGUG
rnacentral:rRNA from 1 species